rnacentral:misc_RNA from 1 species
GAUGAAGAACGUAGCGAACUGCGAUAAGUAAUGUGAAUUGCAGAAUUCAGUGAAUCAUCGAGUCUUUGAACGCACAUUGCGCCCCCUGGCAUUCCGGGGGGCAUGCCUGUCCGAGCGUCAUUGCUGCCCUUCAAGCCCGGCUUGUGUGUUGGGUCGUCGUCCCCCCCGGGGGACGGGCCCGAAAGGCAGCGGCGGCACCGCCUCCGGUCCUCGAGCGUAUGGGGCUUUGUCACCCGCUCGAUUAGGGCCGGCCGGGCGCCAGCCGGCGUCUCCAACCUUCUAUUUUACCAGGUUGACCUCGGAUCAGGUAGGGAUACCCGCUGAACUUAAGCAUAUCAAUAAGCGGAGGA